GAGACGCUGGCGGCGUGCUUAACACAUGCAAGUCGAACGGAGUUACGUUUUCGGAUGUAACUUAGUGGCGAACGGGUGAGUAACGCGUGAGGAACCUGCCUCUCAGUGGGGGACAACAGUUGGAAACGACUGCUAAUACCGCAUAAUGUCAUUGGACGGCAUCGUUUAAUGACCAAAGAUUUAUUGCUGAGAGAUGGCCUCGCGUCUGAUUAGCUAGUUGGUGGGGUAACGGCCCACCAAGGCGACGAUCAGUAGCCGGACUGAGAGGUUGACCGGCCACAUUGGGACUGAGAUACGGCCCAGACUCCUACGGGAGGCAGCAGUGGGGAAUAUUGGGCAGUGGGCGAAAGCCUGACCCAGCAACGCCGCGUGAAGGAAGAAGGCCUUCGGGUUGUAAACUUCUUUUACCAGGGACGAACACAAUGACGGUACCUGGAGAAAAAGCAACGGCUAACUACGUG
rnacentral:rRNA from 1 species